rnacentral:rRNA from 1 species
GCAUGUUCACAUGAUUAAAGGUAUUCCGGUAGACGAUGGGGAUGCGUUCCAUUAGAUAGUAGGCGGGGUAACGGCCCACCUAGUCUUCGAUGGAUAGGGGUUCUGAGAGGAAGGUCCCCCACAUUGGAACUGAGACACGGUCCAAACUCCUACGGGAGGCAGCAGUGAGGAAUAUUGGUCAAUGGGCGAGAGCCUGAACCAGCCAAGUAGCGUGAAGGAUGACUGCCCUAUGGGUUGUAAACUUCUUUUAUAAAGGAAUAAAGUCGGGUAUGCAUACCCGUUUGCAUGUACUUUAUGAAUAAGGAUCGGCUAACUCCGUGCCAGCAGCCGCGGUAAUACGGAGGAUCCGAGCGUUAUCCGGAUUUAUUGGGUUUAAAGGGAGCGUAGAUGGAUGUUUAAGUCAGUUGUGAAAGUUUGCGGCUCAACCGUAAAAUUGCAGUUGAUACUGGAUAUCUUGAGUGCAGUUGAGGCAGGCGGAAUUCGUGGUGUAGCGGUGAAAUGCUUAGAUAUCACGAAGAACUCCGAUUGCGAAGGCAGCCUGCUAAGCUGCAACUGACAUUGAGGCUCGAAAGUGUGGGUAUCGAACAGGAUUAGAUACCCUGGUAGUCCACACGGUAAACGAUGAAUACUCGCUGUUUGCGAUAUACGGCAAGCGGCC